rnacentral:lncRNA from 1 species
GGGGCUCCUGACUCCAGGUCUAAGGCCGCACACCCCAGGCUCUGGCGCGCCGCCCCGGCUGGCGCCUUGGUCUGGCUCGACUGGCGCCCGGGGAGGGGGCGCGUCCCACGCCAGGGCAGUCCGGGCCCAGCCCCCGCUGUGACCGACUGCCCUCUGUGACGUCAGGUGCCCAGCACAGGGCGUGGGUCCGGGUACACGAGAGGGAAGGCCCCUGGGUGGGAGCAGGCUGAUCCCCCUGGGUGCCUGGUACUGACAAAUGCUGGGCUGUAGGGGUGCAGAGGGCCUGGCUGGAGGAGCAUUCAGGAGGCAGAAUCUCCCCGACCUGGUGCUGCAUAGGGAGGAGGGGCCGGGGCUAUUUGGAGAUGCUGUCAACAGGGACGAGGGCUGGCGGCAGAAAAUGCGGAGUCUGCAUGGAAUACUGAGCAUCCGAGUUUCCGUUCAGAGGCCACCAUCCCUCCGCCAUGUGGCCCCAGUAAGAAGUCCCCCACGGACUUCCCAGUAAGCUGGCCCCAGCUCCGAAGGUUCUGACGGGUCUAAGGGUGACCCCAUCCCCCUGGAGACAAAGAUCAGCUACACCAGACAGCAGCCAGCAUUCCCUGGACACAGGACUUUCUCCAGGAACGGCAUACGACCCAGUUCAGAGCAAUGGGAUGUGAGUGGUGGCUUGCUGAGGAAUGCUGGAGAGGAUGCUCCUCCCGUUUAGGAGAGAAGAUCCCCUGUCUCCUGGUCUGGAUGUACACCACUGACAGCUGUUGCAAUUUUGUUUCCACACUGACAACCUGAGAAGGAAGCCAGCACCGAGAGGAAAUCGUGGAGAAGUGGGGCCAGAGCCCCUGGAUCGAGCCAAACCUGAGGCCCAUCUACCUCUGGACUUCCAGGUCCAUGAGCCAAAGAAGCCCUUAUUUGAGCCACUUGGACUUGAGUUUUUUGUUGUUUAUGACACCCUAAAACCCCCAAGCCGUCAGUGUUGGGAGGCCUCCUGAGGAAGAGGUCUCAGACCAAGGGUCCCAUUUUGCAUCAAGGAAUGUGUGACAUUGACCCCCAGACCAUGGGUUCUGCUUGUCCUGCCACAAACCACAUCUCUGGGAAGCUGCCAGCUGACAGAAUGCCGCCCCCCCCCCCCCCCCCAAGCCUCAGCACAGGGACUGUCCACUGCGGGUCUGGGCUGUUUUCCAGGAUGCAGCAUGUGCACUGAACCAACGGGCAGUGCGCCGAGUCCAGAACAAGGGGUCAAAGCGCCAUAGAUCUCCGGGGGAGCAAGCCCCAGGAGUCUGCAGGGGUGGCCCACUCGAUAAUGCCACCGUCGUCGCUGCCCUCCGCCUGCGGCCCUCUCCUCUGCCCCACUCCUGUCCCUGGGGUCACUUUCACAGUCGACUUCCUCCUCAAAGCCCUGUCUGCCUUUCCGGAGUGAGUGGGGCUGGGGAGGGAGACCGGGCCACGACAGGGAGGGUCAGGGAGCCAGCAGAAGGAGAGGGGGCUGCCAAGGCUGGUGGGGCCCGUCC